AGUCGAACGCUUCUUUUUCCACCGGAGCUUGCUCCACCGGAAAAAGAGGAGUGGCGAACGGGUGAGUAACACGUGGGUAACCUGCCCAUCAGAAGGGGAUAACACUUGGAAACAGGUGCUAAUACCGUAUAACAAUCAAAACCGCAUGGUUUUGAUUUGAAAGGCGCUUUCGGGUGUCGCUGAUGGAUGGACCCGCGGUGCAUUAGCUAGUUGGUGAGGUAACGGCUCACCAAGGCCACGAUGCAUAGCCGACCUGAGAGGGUGAUCGGCCACAUUGGGACUGAGACACGGCCCAAACUCCUACGGGAGGCAGCAGUAGGGAAUCUUCGGCAAUGGACGAAAGUCUGACCGAGCAACGCCGCGUGAGUGAAGAAGGUUUUCGGAUCGUAAAACUCUGUUGUUAGAGAAGAACAAGGAUGAGAGUAACUGUUCAUCCCUUGACGGUAUCUAACCAGAAAGCCACGGCUAACUACGUGCCAGCAGCCGCGGUAAUACGUAGGUGGCAAGCGUUGUCCGGAUUUAUUGGGCGUAAAGCGAGCGCAGGCGGUUUCUUAAGUCUGAUGUGAAAGCCCCCGGCUCAACCGGGGAGGGUCAUUGGAAACUGGGAGACUUGAGUGCAGAAGAGGAGAGUGGAAUUCCAUGUGUAGCGGUGAAAUGCGUAGAUAUAUGGAGGAACACCAGUGGCGAAGGCGGCUCUCUGGUCUGUAACUGACGCUGAGGCUCGAAAGCGUGGGGAGCAAACAGGAUUAGAUACCCUGGUAGUCCACGCCGUAAACGAUGAGUGCUAAGUGUUGGAGGGUUUCCGCCCUUCAGUGCUGCAGCUAACGCAUUAAGCACUCCGCCUGGGGGAGUACGACCGCAAGGUUGAAACUCAAAGGAAUUGACGGGGGGCCCGCACAAGCGGUGGAGCAUGUGGUUUAAUUCAAAGCAACGCGAAGAACCUUACCAGGUCUUGACAUCCUUUGACCACUCUA
rnacentral:rRNA from 1 species